AGUGAACGCUGGCGGCAGGCCUAAUACAUGCAAGUCGAACGGAAGCACAGUAAGCUCUUUCCCCUACGGUUGGCGGCUGGCGGAUGGGUAACGCAUACAUCACCAUCUUCUAUUUCUUGGGUGAUUACGUAGGGCCACUGCUACUACUACCUCAUACUUUCUACCGCUUGAAUCAGAAGUUAUUGACGCUUUUGCUGUCUCAUUUAGCCGGCGCCGGAUUAGCUAGUUGGGAAGGUAACGGCUCACCAAGGCAACGAUGCGUAGCCGACCUGAGAGGAUGAUCGGCCACACUGGAACUGAGACACGGUCCAGACUCCUACGGGAGGCAGCAGUAGGGAAUCUUCGGCAAUGGGCGAAAGCCUGACGGAGCAACGCCGCGUGAGUGAUGAAGGUCUUCGGAUCGUAAAACUCUGUUAUUAGGGAAGAACAGAUGUGUAAUUAACUGUGGAUAUCCUGACGGUACCUAAACAGAAAGCAACGGCUAACUACGUG
rnacentral:rRNA from 1 species